UACAGAGGUCCCAAGCGUUGUUCGGAUUUACUGGGCGUAAAGCGUGCGUAGGUGGUGAGUUAAGUCUGUCGUGAAAGCCCCGGGCUCAACCUGGGAAUGGCGAUGGAUACUGGCUCGCUAGAGUGCGGUAGAGGAGAGUGGAAUUCCCGGUGUAGCAGUGAAAUGCGUAGAGAUCGGGAGGAACAUCAGUGGCGAAGGCGGCUCUCUGGACCAGCACUGACACUGAGGCACGAAAGCGUGGGGAGCAAACAGG
rnacentral:rRNA from 1 species